UUUCAUCAUUUUAUUUUUAAU
rnacentral:piRNA from 1 species